rnacentral:rRNA from 1 species
AUGCAUCGGGGAAGGGCCAGUCCGCGGGCUGGCCGUGGGCCUACAAAAAAAUACUGUGAAAUAAGGCCGGUGGAGAAGCCCAGGAGGAAUGAUAAAAAAGGAAAGCCUAGAGGGACGAAAUCUGGCCCGCCUCAUCAGAAAAAAAAGGGAGGGCGAAAUCCCCACUCUCUGUCACGAUCCCCGCCGCUGCCUCUCAUCCUCGCCGCCACGCCGCCGAUGCCCGACGCCGAUGAGGUGGAGGGCGCCCGAAAGCUGGCGCGCGGGGCCUUCGCGAAGCUCUCUCAGUACGAGCCCGCAGCGUCCUCCUCGCCGCCCUCCGCUCCCACGGCUCACCUUCCUCAGCUCCUCAGCUGCUGCUUCCAGUUGCUGCGUCGCCUGGACCACGCCGACCCCGGCCUGGCUGCCAGAUGCGUCAGCCUCCUCCGUGCCUUCAUCCACAGCAUCCCCUCCCGUGACCCCGACGCCUCCUUGGCCCCCGCCCUCGAGGUGUGCCUUCAGAAUUUUGUGGAUAUAAGCCAACUGAGGAAUUGCACCAUGCUCAAUUAUGCCAUACAGGAAGUGCCAAAGGACCCUACCAUGGCAAUAUCAUUCCAGUAUGAGCUCCGUGUCCAGCUGGAGCUCAUGUCCCACCAUUUCAUUUCAUCGGUGCAAGAUGAGGCGGAAUUUGAGCACUUCUUUAGUGCACUCUCUUGGUCUGAGAAGGCGACGCAGCGCACUCCAGAACUUGGCUUGGCUGGAGCUAUCUCCCUAGUCCGAAAGAGCUACUGGUUUUCUAUGCCUGUUAUUGCACAAGCUCAUUUUGUAUUGCUUGCGUCCAGAUGCGUUGGCAAUGGGGAUCUGAACCUGCAUUUGCAAGUGUUUGAGAAUGCCAUGCAUGCUUAUUUGAUAUACUUGCCAGACUUGGGUGUUUUUCACAGAACUAAUGCUGUGAAAAGCCUCUUCAGUCGCUUCGCCAACAUGAAACUUCUUAACUCUUGUAUCCAAGACGCAACUAAUCAGAAGCUAAAUUGUCAGGUCAAUAGGCUGCUUUUGUUCUGCAAGGUGCACUGUGAUGAUGGCUGGCAUGUCAAAGAGAGGAAUACCUUUGAUAUUCUUGUGAGCUUCAUUGAGGAGAACCAGCAUAUCUUUCCGGAACAAUCAAGGCAGGAAGCUGUUAUUGUUGUGAACAAAAUAGUGUCAAAUAUCCUGGAUUGUACUAAGCAGAAGGAGACACAUGAAUCGGAUGCUAACGCUUCAGAGGAGAUGAUCUACCUUGCUGCUGUACUUAGGCUAAUGGGUUCCUCUUUUCUAGAGGUUCUUCGCUCUAUUAGGGAAAUGAGGGCUGCAGGUGACAGGCAUCAUGAAAAUCAUAUAUUACUUCGCAUAUCUGAAACCAUCGGCUUACUUGGGCAAUAUGAAGCUAAUGGACUUAACAUACAUGACUUAUUUGGUAUGGCUGAGAAGUCUGUUGACAAGGAAAACACCUCAGUGCAGAUGCUUUUUCAUUUUGCUAGCCUAUUUGCCUUAUGUUUAAGAAUGAGGUUUGGUUUUCUGUGGAAAGCUUGCAUUGUCAUGAUCAUGAUGGCCAUGAAUCUUGUGAUUGAUGAAGAUAGAAGUCUGAGUGCAUUUCAGUUUCUUAUUGCUUCAAAAGAGCUUGCAAUCUAUUCAAUUGACCAAGAGGAUAGUUUGAAGGGUUCUGCCUGUAGAAAAUCUUCUACAUCAAUAGCUUUGCAGUACACUAACGUGCAUAAACGUUGUAUUCAAGAUGAGGCGCGGCCUGAUUGUGUUGAGGACAGCAGGGGUAAAACUGUAGACGGAACGGCCUUUUUCGAGUCCAUUCUGGGAAACAAGAACUCCUCCGAGUGGGGUGAUUUGGUGGAUUAUGUUGAAUGCGAAGAUGGCGUGGAUUAUGCAAGUUGGCUGACGCAGCACAGGAAAUUCAAGGAGUUUAGGGAUGCCAAAUGGAUGAGCAGCAAGCGACCCAGCGUGGACAUGUCAGAGAUAAAGAGAGAAUACGGUGCCAGUAAAAGUAAAAGACUGAAGAAGAAGGCUUCGCGGUGA